rnacentral:lncRNA from 1 species
AUGUAUAUUGAUGGUUGUGUGCCCUAACCCAAAUUUUAUGUAAAGGAUGCCUAUUUUAAUGUCAUGAUGCAAUUUAAUUUGUUGGAUGCUUAUAUCAAUUUUUGUUGGGUUGAAAUGCAUGUCUAGGAGCCUAGUCAACUCUAGGGUAUGUAUUUUGAGCAUGUCUAGGAUGGAGUUAGAGGCUUGACCCCCUCUAAUUCCUAAGCUAGAACCCUCAAUUUGGUAUUGUAGGGGUUAUAAGCACGGUGAUUUACACCCGCCGCGUGAUUGCGAGGGUGAAUCGCUUAGUGGUCUAAUUCUUGAGCUUUAUGCCAACUAGAGCAACUUAGAGACCCUUGAACCGGCUCUAGCUCUCUCUAGUUGCGUUUGUGUGACCCUUGAAACAGCACAUUAAUACCAUAAUUGAGAAUAUAUGGUCCUUGAGCCUUGAACCGCCUAGGAUACGACUACCGCCAAAUGAAGAAUUUUGCAUCUACAUUAGAUUAGCUUCCGGCACAUAGGAUUUGGGUGAAGGAACCUCCCUAGCACCCAACACUCUCUUGUCUUGAAUUUUUUGCAAACUACUUUAGCAUUGCAUUUUUCAUUUUUAGCAAUUUUCUAUUUUCGGUUCUUAAAUUUAGUUUAUGUCUUCACAAUUAAAAAUCACAAUUUCAGAUACUUGUUGGUAGGAUAAUUUGUAUUUGUGUUUAGUUGUCCGUAACUAAGUGGGGGUUCCCUAUUCCCUUGGGUACGAUACUUGGAGCUUAAUUUAUUUGCCCUAAACUUGAUGACCGUGUUGUAUUACGCGUGAGGCGCUAGUAUAGGCACCGAAUCAAUGGCGCCGUUGCCGGG